rnacentral:rRNA from 1 species
UGGCUAACUCCUACGGGAGGCAGCAGCCGCGGUAAUACGUAGGGUGCAAACGUUAAUCGGAAUUACUGGGCGUAAAGCGUGCGCAGGCGGUUGUGUAAGUCAGAUGUGAAAUCCCCGGGCUCAACCUGGGAAUUGCAUUUGAGACUGCACGGCUAGAGUGUGUCAGAGGGGGGUAGAAUUCCACGUGUAGCAGUGAAAUGCGUAGAUAUGUGGAGGAAUACCGAUGGCGAAGGCAGCCCCUGGGAUAACACUGACGCUCAUGCACGAAAGCGUGGGGAGCAAACAGGAUUAGAAACCCGGUAGCCAGCUGG